AUCGCUUCUCGGCCUUUUGGCUAAGAUCAAGUGUAGUAUCUGUUCUUAUCAGUUUAAUAUCUGAUACGUCCUCUAUCUAAGACUGAAGUGUGGACACUAU
rnacentral:snRNA from 1 species